rnacentral:rRNA from 1 species
GACGAACGCUGGCGGCGUGCUUAACACAUGCAAGUCGAACGGUGAUCUCGAGAGCUUGCUCUUGGGUGAUCAGUGGCGAACGGGUGAGUAACACGUGAGUAACCUGCCCCAGACUCUGGAAUAACCCCGGGAAACCGGAGCUAAUACCGGAUACGAAGUGGAGCCGCAUGGCUACUGCUUGGAAAGUUUUUUCGGUCUGGGAUGGACUCGCGGCCUAUCAGCUUGUUGGUGAGGUAAUGGCUCACCAAGGCGACGACGGGUAGCCGGCCUGAGAGGGCGACCGGCCACACUGGGACUGAGACACGGCCCAGACUCCUACGGGAGGCAGCAGUGGGGAAUAUUGCACAAUGGGCGAAAGCCUGAUGCAGCGACGCCGCGUGAGGGAUGAAGGCCUUCGGGUUGUAAACCUCUUUCAGCAGGGAAGAAGCGCAAGUGACGGUACCUGCAGAAGAAGCACCGGCUAACUACGUGCCAGCAGCCGCCGUAACAC